rnacentral:rRNA from 1 species
UCCGAAUGGGGAAACCCAGCAUGAGUUAUGUCAUGUUAUCGAUAUGUGAAUACAUAGCAUAUCAGAAGGCACACCCGGAGAACUGAAACAUCUUAGUACCCGGAGGAAGAGAAAGAAAAUUCGAUUCCCUUAGUAGCGGCGAGCGAAACGGGAAGAGCCCAAACCAACAAGCUUGCUUGUUGGGGUUGUAGGACACUCUAUACGGAGUUACAAAGGACGACAUUAGACGAAUCAUCUGGAAAGAUGAAUCAAAGAAGGUAAUAAUCCUGUAGUCGAAAAUGUUGUCUCUCUUGAGUGGAUCCUGAGUACGACGGAGCACGUGAAAUUCCGUCGGAAUCUGGGAGGACCAUCUCCUAAGGCUAAAUACUCUCUAGUGACCGAUAGUGAACCAGUACCGUGAGGGAAAGGUGAAAAGCACCCCGGAAGGGGAGUGAAAUAGAACCUGAAACCGUGUGCUUACAAGUAGUCAGAGCCCGUUAAUGGGUGAUGGCGUGCCUUUUGUAGAAUGAACCGGCGAGUUACGAUUUGAUGCAAGGUUAAGCAGUAAAUGUGGAGCCGUAGCGAAAGCGAGUCUGAAUAGGGCGUUUAGUAUUUGGUCGUAGACCCGAAACCAGGUGAUCUACCCUUGGUCAGGUUGAAGUUCAGGUAACACUGAAUGGAGGACCGAACCGACUUACGUUGAAAAGUGAGCGGAUGAACUGAGGGUAGCGGAGAAAUUCCAAUCGAACCUGGAGAUAGCUGGUUCUCUCCGAAAUAGCUUUAGGGCUAGCCUCAAGUGAUGAUUAUUGGAGGUAGAGCACUGUUUGGACGAGGGGCCCCUCUCGGGUUACCGAAUUCAGACAAACUCCGAAUGCCAAUUAAUUUAACUUGGGAGUCAGAACAUGGGUGAUAAGGUCCGUGUUCGAAAGGGAAACAGCCCAGACCACCAGCUAAGGUCCCAAAAUAUAUGUUAAGUGGAAAAGGAUGUGGCGUUGCCCAGACAACUAGGAUGUUGGCUUAGAAGCAGCCAUCAUUUAAAGAGUGCGUAAUAGCUCACUAGUCGAGUGACACUGCGCCGAAAAUGUACCGGGGCUAAACAUAUUACCGAAGCUGUGGAUUGUCCUUUGGACAAUGGUAGGAGAGCGUUCUAAGGGCGUUGAAGCAUGAUCGUAAGGACAUGUGGAGCGCUUAGAAGUGAGAAUGCCGGUGUGAGUAGCGAAAGACGGGUGAGAAUCCCGUCCACCGAUUGACUAAGGUUUCCAGAGGAAGGCUCGUCCGCUCUGGGUUAGUCGGGUCCUAAGCUGAGGCCGACAGGCGUAGGCGAUGGAUAACAGGUUGAUAUUCCUGUACCACCUAUAAUCGUUUUAAUCGAUGGGGGGACGCAGUAGGAUAGGCGAAGCGUGCGAUUGGAUUGCACGUCUAAGCAGUAAGGCUGAGUAUUAGGCAAAUCCGGUACUCGUUAAGGCUGAGCUGUGAUGGGGAGAAGACAUUGUGUCUUCGAGUCGUUGAUUUCACACUGCCGAGAAAAGCCUCUAGAUAGAAAAUAGGUGCCCGUACCGCAAACCGACACAGGUAGUCAAGAUGAGAAUUCUAAGGUGAGCGAGCGAACUCUCGUUAAGGAACUCGGCAAAAUGACCCCGUAACUUCGGGAGAAGGGGUGCUCUUUAGGGUUAACGCCCAGAAGAGCCGCAGUGAAUAGGCCCAAGCGACUGUUUAUCAAAAACACAGGUCUCUGCUAAACCGUAAGGUGAUGUAUAGGGGCUGACGCCUGCCCGGUGCUGGAAGGUUAAGAGGAGUGGUUAGCUUCUGCGAAGCUACGAAUCGAAGCCCCAGUAAACGGCGGCCGUAACUAUAACGGUCCUAAGGUAGCGAAAUUCCUUGUCGGGUAAGUUCCGACCCGCACGAAAGGCGUAACGAUUUGGGCACUGUCUCAACGAGAGACUCGGUGAAAUCAUAGUACCUGUGAAGAUGCAGGUUACCCGCGACAGGACGGAAAGACCCCGUGGAGCUUUACUGUAGCCUGAUAUUGAAAUUCGGCACAGCUUGUACAGGAUAGGUAGGAGCCUUUGAAACGUGAGCGCUAGCUUACGUGGAGGCGCUGGUGGGAUACUACCCUAGCUGUGUUGGCUUUCUAACCCGCACCACUUAUCGUGGUGGGAGACAGUGUCAGGCGGGCAGUUUGACUGGGGCGGUCGCCUCCUAAAAGGUAACGGAGGCGCUCAAAGGUUCCCUCAGAAUGGUUGGAAAUCAUUCAUAGAGUGUAAAGGCAUAAGGGAGCUUGACUGCGAGACCUACAAGUCGAGCAGGGUCGAAAGACGGACUUAGUGAUCCGGUGGUUCCGCAUGGAAGGGCCAUCGCUCAACGGAUAAAAGCUACCCCGGGGAUAACAGGCUUAUCUCCCCCAAGAGUUCACAUCGACGGGGAGGUUUGGCACCUCGAUGUCGGCUCAUCGCAUCCUGGGGCUGUAGUCGGUCCCAAGGGUUGGGCUGUUCGCCCAUUAAAGCGGUACGCGAGCUGGGUUCAGAACGUCGUGAGACAGUUCGGUCCCUAUCCGUCGUGGGCGUAGGAAAUUUGAGAGGAGCUGUCCUUAGUACGAGAGGACCGGGAUGGACAUACCUCUGGUGUACCAGUUGUCGUGCCAACGGCAUAGCUGGGUAGCUAUGUGUGGACGGGAUAAGUGCUGAAAGCAUCUAAGCAUGAAGCCCCCCUCAAGAUGAGAUUUCCCAACUUCGGUUAUAAGAUCCCUCAAAGAUGAUGAGGUUAAUAGGUUCGAGGUGGAAGCAUGGUGACAUGUG